CGCUAUGUUCAAAAAAUCUGAAACUAGAGCUCAAAAUUCGAAAAAAAUGUCAAAAAAAUUAGGGGGGGUCGGCCUAUUCCAGGGCUUCUAGAGAAAAAUAAUGAGGGGUGUCACGGGGAAUGACUAUAUAGGUCUUGUAGAAGAGAAACAGGCGCUUCUUUUGCGCUAGGUAUCGAAGGGCGCUAUGUUCAAAAAUCUGAAACUAGAGCUCAAAAUUUGAAAAAAAUGUCAAAAAAAUUAGGGGGGUCGGCCUAUUCUAGGACUUCUAGAGAAAAAUAAUGAGGGGUGUCACGGGGUAAUGACUAUAUAGGUCUUGUAGAAGAGAAACAGGCGCUUCUUUUGCACUAGGUAUCGAAGGGCGCUAUGUUCAAAAAUCUGAAACUAGAGCUCAAAAUUCGAAAAAAAUGUCCAAAAAAUGGGGGUAGGGUCGGCCUAUUCCAGGAGUUCUAGAGAAAAAUAAUGAGGGGUGUCACGGGUAUGACUAUAUAGGUCUUGUAGAGGAG
rnacentral:lncRNA from 1 species